rnacentral:rRNA from 1 species
CCUACGGGCGGCAGCAGUGGGGGAUAUUGCACAAUGGGGGAAACCCUGAUGCAGCGAAGCCGCGUGAGUGAAGAAGUAUUUCGGUAUGUAAAGCUCUAUCAGCAGGGAAGCAAAUGACAGUACCUGACCAAGAAGCCCCGGCUAACUACGUGCAAGCAGCCGGGGUAAUAAGUAGGGGGCAAGCGUUAUCCAGAUUUACUGGGUGUAAAGGGGUCGUAGACGGUUAUGUAAGUCUGGAGUGAAAGCCCGGGGCCCACCCCCGGGACUGCUUUGGAAACUGUGUAACUGGAGUACAGGAGGGGCAGGCGGAAUUCCUGGUGUAGCGGUGAAAUGCGUAGAUAUCAGGAGGAACACCGGCUGCGAAGGCGGCCUGCUGGACUGAAACUGACGUUGAGGCUCGAAAGCGUGGGGAGCAAACAGGAUUAGAUACCCGAGUAGUC